GACGAACCGUGCGAACGUUAUUCGGAAUCACUGGGCUUAAAGGGCGCGUAGGCGGCCAACUAAGUCAGACGUGAAAUCCCUCGGCUUAACCGGGGAACUGCGUCUGAUACUGGAUGGCUUGAGGUUGGGAGAGGGAUGCGGAAUUCCAGGUGUAGCGGUGAAAUGCGUAGAUAUCUGGAGGAACACCGGUGGCGAAGGCGGCAUCCUGGACCAAUUCUGACGCUGAGGAGCGAAAGCCAGGGGAGCAAACGGG
rnacentral:rRNA from 1 species